GCUCACUUCGUAAUUAGUCCCACAUGGCCCUGAACCAAUUCAACCAUCCACGCUGCUCCUUCCUCCCCAUCCUCCUCCCAAAUUUGAGCUCCUUCUUGCCCAUCUCCAUCUCCUCCUCAUCAUCGGAGUCCGAAUCCGAGUCCUCCUCGUCGGCCCUCUUCUUCUUGUGCUCCUUGUUCUUUCUCGUCCUCCUCCUCUCCCCUUCCCACUCCGUCGCCAAAGGCCACUCCAUCCGGCCCUCCCUGCCCUCGGCCUCAGAUCCGGCGUCCACUUCGCCGCCCUUGGGGAGCGGGAUCAUGUCGUUUCCGUAGGGGACGAUCCUGACGCCGUGGAACCGGUGGCCGUGGCGGUCGUGGUGGUGGUGGUGGCAGCGGUGGCGGCGGAAGUGGUGGUGCACGGGGCGGCGAAGAGAGAGGUCAACGUGGUCGAAUCCCUCGACGAAUUCGGGGAUGGGAUGCUCCGACGUUAUCUUCUCGAUCGAGGCGGUUAGGGUUGUCAGGUCCGCAUCCUCGGCCGGGACCAGUUCGGCGGUCGUCGGAUCGAAGUCCUCCGGCACCUCACGGAAGUCGACGGCCGUGGUCGCGUCGGGGGCGAGGGGGACGCGGGUGGCGUGGGAGAGAAGGAAGAGGAGGGAGAAGACGACGGAGAGGAUGACGGAGAUCUUGACGGAAACCAUGGAUUCGGGUAACGGCGGUCAAUUCUAAGAAAUGUGCGUUUGUGGGACGCUCUGCAUCCGUUAUUUAUAGAUGAAGGCAACGGAGUGACCGGUCAACCUCGAUGGUAAGAAUAAAACCACUCAUUUUUAAUACUUUUAAUUUGUUUUUCUUAAAUAUUCUUUAAGUUUGAUUUAUAGAUGAUAAUUAUCAUAUAAAUAGUUAUAGUUCCCAGAAAAUGCUUUUGCUUUUUAUAAAAUAAAGCAUCUUAAAUAGUAUCUUAAAUUAAACAAUUAAUUUUCUUAAAUAGUAUCUUUAAUUAAAAAAUAUAUUAACUAUCUUUCAAAAAUUUUCUAGUGUUUUAACCUGUUAUAAUAUUUUGAUCAUCAAAAUAAAAACAUUAUAAGACUUACACAGUAAAAGUAUUGUAAGAUCAAUUCAAAAAUAUUAUAAAUAAUCUACAUGAACGUUUAACCUUAAUCAAAUUAAUUAUAAAUAUAAAAAUAUAAUAUUAUAAUAAUCUAUGAGCAAUAACAAUCAACAAUAUGAUAUCACUUAUAAUAUUUUUAAUAUCUUAAUAAAUCACUAUAACGUCAUUGGAAAACAUGGUAAAGAAGUCAAAUGAAAAUAUUCUAAUAGUUAAAAACUGAUUAAAAAUAUACAAAAAUGUUUGAUACAAUUUUUUUAGGGAUAUUUUAGGUUUUUUAAAAUUAGAGAUACUGUUUGAAAAAAAGAGAAAUUUUUUUCAAAAAAAAUAUAUAAAAUAUGAAAACUCGAGGAUUAAGUAUUUAGAUAUCUUUUUCCCGACAUCAACUGAAUUAAACUAGCAAAAAGAAUAUAAUAUAUCAGAGAGCAUAUAAAUACAUUGCUUGUUUCCUAUUUUAAAUUUUACAGCCUGGCACCACACAACUAUUAUAGUCUUAGAAUUUACGUGUAUUCGGUGCAGGUUAAACGUGGAAAGUCGUCUGAAUCAAUUAGUUUAAUUACGACCUGCUUCACUUUCUCUGGACUGCACAACACGCGGACGAUUUAGUCAAACGAUUACGCACACGCUGCUGUCAUUGAUUGCAACAACACACCAAUAUAAUCUUCGUUCCUUCAAUCAUGUUGCAUUGCUUAACAACGAAGGAGCCUCAGUCAAUUGUAUCUCCAAAUUGACCACUGCAGCUGUUCGUGGACUUCGUCCCUAAAGGACAACAUGUGGGAAAGAUCGAGAAGACAAGAAGGUCGGAAGAGGAGAUGGAGAGGAAGAGGUCGGUCACGGGUAGGAUUCUAGGAGAUAGAAAACUAUUAACAGGAAAUGGAUAAAAAGAGGGAAAAGAUAUAAAUAAAAUAAUUAUAUUAUAUGUGGGUUAACAAUUGUGAUUUAUAUUAGUUAUGAUUGAAUAACUUGGUACUUUGGAGGAUUUGGAUUUGGAUUUGGAUGAUAUAAGAUAGGAAAAUUAUGGCUUCUCCCUAAAUAUUUCUUUUUCAUACAUUUUCUAUUUUCACAUAAAAUUUCUGGCACCUCCGCUUUCCGUUGAUCCUAUACGACAAAGGUCCGAUGGGCUUUCCCUUUAGCCCAAUGCAGGUCCCUAACUCGACUUCCGCCCGCUCACCCUUCACUCGAUUCUCUGCCCUCGCUUUCGCCUAAUCCCUAAUCGAGUCACUCUUCGGCUCCGACAUGGUCGAUGGUGCCAAUGCCCUCCUCGCUGAUUCCUUCGCGGAAACCUCAACUUUCCCACGGACCCGUUUCUUCGGUCUCCUCCUCUCUCUCUACCCUGUCAAAUCCGAUGAUUCUUUGCCGCCGCAUCCUUUCGCUACUCCAUUCGGUGACCCUCAGAAUUCUGAUGAAUUGCCACUGCAAGUCGGGCCGCUUGGACGUCGCACACCAAGUGUUCGAUCAUACGAUAUAUGGUUAUUGAACUCCACGUGAUCCCUUGCAAUGUAUUAAUCCAAUUCUUCAGAAGGAAAGGACGGAUCUUUGAUGCAUUCAACGGUCUACGUGAGACGCGGAAGAGCAGGCCGAAUCGGCGGGCAUACGCAAUUGCAGACGAUGCGGAAGACGGUUCUUUUAACGUGACUCGUUUGCGAAUUAGGUUGGUUCCGAGUGCGAUCGCUUGUAAUUAUGGUUUCGAUGGGCUUGAUAAAGAAGGAAAGGUGCAAGCUUCGAGGGUUCAAGUUGGAAAACAGGGGAAAUGUGGUAUCAUAAGCUGGUUUUACCAGUAAAAGAAAGAUUGAAGAUGCAAAGUAUGGUUUUUGUCGAUAUGUCUGACAAGGGGUUAUGUCCGGAUGCUACGACAUACGCAGGCAAAUUUAAUAAUUUAUUCUAUUGUCUCGCAGGUGUUUUGCAUAGAGUUGAGAUUGAGGAAUAAUUUUGGUGCUUCACGAAUUUUUUUCUAACUGCUGUUGUGCAUCUACUGGUAAUUCCUCUUAUUCUCAAAUAUGUUUGUCAGUUUGUUCAACUUGCCAUUCUCAGAACACAAGAAACAACCAAAACAAAUUAGAAAAGGUUUCAUCAUGAGAAAUGCUGACGCAAUGUGGAUCUUAAGCUACAGUUUUGAGGAGAAAUUAAUUCAAAAUAUGAAGUUAGAAAAUAUGAAGUUGUGCUACCUAAGACUUCAAAGCUGAUGACGCUGGUAAUAAACUUCAUGGUGCUAUCAAGGAUAUAGUGGCUUGGUCUAGUGAACUUUGAAACUCUGAUUAUUUGAUCUAAACUUUGGUAUCAGUGCUUUUUUACAUUCACAUUGUUUGUUAAAAUUUUUGUUGCAUUCAUGUAUCUAUUUAGGCUUUAUUAGUUUGCGUUUUCUUUUCUUGUAUGCAUUUUGGGGAAAAUGAGUUAUGAGGGUCACCUCACAUACAUGGGAGGCAGAAGGUUCUCAAAAAUCUGAGAAUUAGUUUCUAGAUUUUUUUAUGAAUUACUUUCCAAUCUUCUUUUCCUUUUGUUGUUGUCGUUACUGUCGGAUGUGAGUUUCUUUUAGUUUGUUUCAGUAUUCUUGUGUAAUUUUUCCAUGCUGAUAGAUGUAUAAUGAUGGUAUGUCUCAUCAGUGAUGAUUGUGGUACUAAGGAAGCAGAACUUGUAUGUCUGUUGUAGCAAUUCACCUUUAUCUUAUGAUGCCAUGAAGGUUUCAUACAUCAUAUUGAACUUUUUGAUCACAUCUGUUUUUGUAAAUGUUUCGUUCUGCUUGUUUUACAUAUUUGGGAAUCUAGGUAAAAAGGAUAUUUAUGUACUUGCCAUAAUACUUGUAAAUUGCAUUUGCUUUGUUUUUGUCGAACAUCUUCUGUGCAUUCAUGUGGUGACUAUUUAUUUGUCUGAAAACUAUCCUUCCACCCAGUUGUGCUAGACAAUAUUUCUUUAUGAGCAAACCCACACUGCUUUCGUGCAGGGCACUAGGUUCUAACUUUGACCUUGCAGAGUAUAGCUUCUGACAAUGGCUUUAUCAUGACGGAGCUGCAUGUUGAGAUUAGUAAUGUGUCCACCAUAGUGGUUGCUACAUUGACUGCAUUUCCACAUUCCAGACAGUAGAAUUUGCUACUGGAGAUUGUGGUGACACUCUCUGCACAAUAAUAAAGUAAAAGCUUUUGAUGUAUUUGUGCCAGUACAUUCUAGUGUGCAUGUGCAUUUGAAGCACGUCUGUUUGUACAAUGCAAAUAUAUGCAAAUGCUACUUGUGUAAUUCAUUAGCUUUAGGUUUAUAAAUGUAGCACAAUCAUGAUCAAUGUUUUAUUUUAGUCUUUGACAAUAUGCAGAAUUGAGACUUGUAGUUACAUGAGAUAAUAUCAAAGGUGUGGUUGUUUAUCCUCCUCAACAUAACUCAUUGCUAAAUAGCUCCUCUUGUUUUCUCUUGCACUAAUAAUAACUUACAUGAUGUAAAUUGCAAACUCAUGAGUAUUUUCACAUUUUCUCGCUGGCAUAGUCUUAUUAUUUUGAUAUAUAUUGAUCCUCAACAAGUAUAGCAAUAUUAGUCUUUAGUUUUGAACUUAUUUCUGAUUGUCUUGCAGUUCUUUGUUCACCUAAGUGGUAUUGUGAAAUAAUAGGAUUGGUUCUUGCCAUGUUCUUCUGCAUACAACCAUAUAUUUGAUCACUUCAUAUCUGUCUGAACUAAUUUGCUUCUCUAAAUAAGCUGCAAUUCAAGUGUAAAUUUAAUUUUGACUCGGAACCACCAAAACUACCUGGUUCUCAUUAGAGAGACUUAACACAAUCAAACUUGUAGAAGCACAAGGACAAGGCAUCUCUACAGUCUUUUAGAUAAUAAAGCUUGAAUAUAAGUACUUGAACUAAUCUAAGUCAAAUCAAAUCUAACUUAUAAAAGCACAAGGAAAUAACAUCUCUAGAGAUUUUGGUAGAUGAUAAAAGCUUGUCUCUAGUUACUUGAAAUUAAGUAUUCAAAAAUCUAUUAGUCACCUAUAUGAUGAAAACAAAGAGAUGCUACUAACUUCAUUCCAGUUGUUUGUUUCAUUUUCUUGUGUCUUCUUAUCCUUGGUGUUUGUAUUUUCUUAACAAACCCAAUGAAUUUUCUUUAGAAGAAAAUUUUCAAUGUAGUAUCAUGAUUUCAACUUUCAUGCCCAGUAAAAUUUUGACACAUCCUAUGUGCAUGCUACAGAUAUGACUAUGUUUCAUCUAACACGUCCAGAGAUAUACAUAUUUGUAUAGCCCCACACGCUUAUUCAACUCUUAGCUCCUAGUGGUCUCUGAUACAGAUCCAUUCCUGUUUCUAGACUGCUGGUUCAUGUAGCUAUAUUCAUAAUGAUUGUGAUACCAAUGUAGCAGGGUUUGCUUCCCACUGUCUUGGCAAUAACCAGUUAACCACUAGUCUUUUUUUCACUUUAUUUUGCCACAUAUUUCUUUCAUCAUCUUAUAUGAGAAAGUUACUGUUAUCAACUGUAGUCAGAGAACCAACAUAUUUUCAUUGGUGAAAAACUUGUACUGAAGAAUGUGCUAGAACAAAAACCUGGAAUCUUACAUGUAAGAUCAUGUCAUCCAGAUCAAUAGUAUCUCCAUUGUCUUUCACAGUCUACAAGGGACUCUUAACUUGUGUCUCCCUUCAGGGCAGUGGGGACUCUCAAACACCAGGAGACCCCAGCUUAUUGGUGACUACUGUUUACUACUAUGCAUGGACAAACUGGGCAAACAAUAAAAGUAUCUGAUCUUCCCAAGUUAUUUAUUAGUAGAACUACCCAAUACUUAGUCCAGUGUCAUCAGCUCAUUGCUGGUGGUUGACUUUCUUCUCUCUGGGUUGCAAGUGGAUGAAUGAUGAAACUGGCAAGGCUGUUUGCACUUCUACUGUUUCGGUUUGGUUUAUUCCAGAGAAUCACAUCCAGGGAUGAGAUUAUUAAACUUGCUUAUCUUGCUAACUCUGCUUGAACUUAUGGAAAGUGUACUCAUGGCAUCUUUGCAUUGCCAGCAUUGUUGGUUUACAAUUAGCAACUACAGCAUGAUGCAUAUUGGUCAACCAUAAGGAUCAUCUUAUGUGUGUGCACUGCAGAUACUUUUAUCUGGAUAUCUGACCACUGAGCAUUUGCUGCUGUUUCUGAGACUAAUGCACCACUACAAAUGCUUCAUCAUCUGUAGUUGUACACCUUCUUGUGCAAUUCAUAUAUCACCUAUUCAAACACUCGAGUGAUGGGCAAGUUAUCUACUCUCUCAAGUGAUGGAAUAAGCUAUUUGAUGACCAGUUCAGUGCAAGUAAACUGGACACCAGCUUCUGACAUUUGCUUAUUAAUGGUCACUGAGUUUAAGGGCUGAGUACAUGACUUCCCUUGUUCCCUGAGGAUUGUACAAAGGACAGAUAUUACUAGUAAACUGCCUUGAGUCAACUGUAGGUAUUACAGUAUUGCUGUUUAGGUAAUGUGCAGUUUUUGUUAUUAGAAAACUGCUAGUGGUCAAAGCAUCUCUCAUAUUCCCAAUAGCUUUGCUCCAAAAGAUAAUCUGAUCUGAGUCUCAAAAACAUUAGCCACAAGAUGAGUUUUUUUUUUAUUUAAAUCAUGUUAGACUUUUUGGGCUUCCAUACAAAAUAAAAGCUUUCCAAAGUCAAACUAUGAAAACCACAUAGAGCCUGACUUCAAAAACAGAGUCUCAUGAAAUUUCCUGGCAGCUCUGGACUGAGUUUACUACACUAGUAUUUGGUACAGUCAACUGUAUUAUUCAUUCCAAGCUUGAAGACGCAUCUCCUGCAGUCAAGCAAGCUCUUGGUUCUUCUCAACCACUCUCACCUCCUUUGCAGAUCUGAGAAUGGCUGCCUGAAGGAAGGAGGACAUCAAAAGACAACAUGGCAUUUCCAUCAGGGGUGACACAAAACAUCUUAAAUCCAAGAAGGAAUACCUGCUUUUUGGUUAUCUCCACUGAGAAGCCAUCAACAAUUGCCAGAGAGGACUUCUUCCUGUAGGAGUUUGGUGGGAGAAGCUUUGCCAGUAGCUGGUCAUGCUUGUGACUCAGGUAAGUGUCGAGCUCCUCCACGCCUUCCUUUGACCUGAGCCAUCCCCACAGAGAGACCUUGAGAGAACAGAGGAGGGAGGAAGGAAGAAGGAAGGCAAAUGCCACUGCUGAAAAGAAAUGAGGGGUUGGGAAGAUGCAACAAGACACACCGAUCUGCACGCAGACUCUCGUACUCUGGAUCAAAGUUCAUGAAGACAAAGUAGAGCUCAGUGUUCUGAUCUCCCAUUGCCACCAGAUACUCUCUGCUUCCCUGGUACCUUUCUUGUGGAGGUCACCCAACACAUGAAGUGAGGGUGCUGGUAUCCUUGCAUGGUCUAUUUAUACUGACAUGGAGCAGCAAGACUGACUAUUCACAAACUUGAACAAGUCUUCUUCCUCCACUGACCUGCACUCUUCUAUAAUAUUAUUUCCUAUUGUACUGCCGACGACUAAUUAAUUAAAAGCUGCAUAAACUCCAUUAUUGAUCAUUUUUUGCAGGGAGAAAUUUAGUAAUCAUGGCACUUCAUGAGGUAAUGUAGUAAUAUUUAGUGUAUGUAUGUUGUCUUGUGGUGCAGGAUAGUUGACACCAUCAAAGAGAUAUGGGAUUGGAUUGGAUUUGAUUUGUUGCUGGCGAAAAAAGCCCAUAGGAAUUUUGAGUAUUGAGAUUUAGUUCAGUGAGUUGUUCAAUCAUAUACCAGGAUUGUUGUAUAUAAGAUUUGUUCAAUCAUAAUGAGAAAAAUAUUUAUUCAUUUCUUUCUCUCAUUAUAUUUUGAAGUGAGAGUGAGUUUAUUCGAGCUCAAUAAUUAUUGUCUUUCUCAUAAGACAAUUAAGACGUGCACAUCACAUAUAAAAGAUGUAUUCAUUUGGUAGGACAUAUCAACACUUUAAAUGUUUCUUUUCACACAUGGGAGAUGUUUCAUUUGUCCUAUAUGAAUGCAUUAUGUGUAAAGGGAUGAUACUUUGGCUACGAAUGUUUCAUAUGUUUUUUUUUUAGACAAAUGUAUCACGCAUAAAAUGAAUAUAUUGAUGUUAUGUAAGACACUUAUGAUGUUUCUCAGUUACAUUAUGUACUUUCUGAUUUUUUUUUUGUAUUGUUGGAUAUACCAUGUGCAAAGAUGAUAUUUUUUCGGCAUCAAAUAUCAUGAUUUCUUUCUUUUUCGUUGAAAUGAGGUUUUUAUGCUAUUUUGCUUUCUAAAAUAGGUCGGAGAAAUUUAUUGAAAGCUUUUAUGUGACUUAAGGUCAUUAAGGAAGUUAAUCAUCGAGAGAAGUAUGGGUUGGUCAUCUAUCAUAUUUUAUUAUUGUUGAAUCUCAUCAUGUAGUCGACUCAAGGUUUAUUCUUGUCUUUAUUGAAACGAUCAACAAGAUUAUUGUAAGCUUCUUCCGAUAUUGAUUACAGACAAAGAAAACUAAAGUAUUAUUCUUUUAUAUUUUCCUAUAAACUAGUCAGUUAAAAUGUCUAUACAAAUAAAAUAUCAAAGAACUUAGAUAAUUUAUUCUAUGGGGUUAAUGCUUUCAUCAAGUCCUAAGAUUGAACAAACAAAAAUUGAAGGAAAUAAAUUUACUAUAUCCUCUAGUUUAGAUAGGUGUAAGGAGAUUGAUUUUGGAGAUUCACUUGGUCGGUGUCCUUAUAAGUCGAAUCUCGUGCUUAUUCUAUUCUUAUAGUCGAUCCAUUAGGAGGGAGCAUUUAAUCCGGUUUUAACGGAUUUGGGAACCUAUACUCGACUUCCUUAAACCAUAUUCGGAUAUUCUUUAACCUGAUGACAAAUGCCAAAUUGGGUGUGCGCAGUUUUGUCCAUUUUGGGGUUGAAAAUUCGAAUGGGGAAGCUGACAAAUUUGACAUAACGUUCAUUUGGACUGCCUAAAUCCCUUACGCGGCUCCCUGUGAUUGGCUCGCGUGAUCUAACACAGAUACGGUGUGCCGUUCUUGUACUCGGAGGACUUCUCUGGUGCAGCGUUUCUAAUGGGUCCAAAAUUGCUGCAUGGCUCCUUCCAAGCUUCGACCACGUACUCGCCAAUGAUGGAUGGAGGAGGGCGGGGGGUGUGGAAGUAACUCAUGAAUCACGUGACUACAUGCAAGUAUCAGAAUCCUCUGAUCAGCAUUAUGAGAUCUCCCCGGCUUCGUUUGUCAGAAAACUACAGGCUGCUUGUGAACCCUUCUUCUGAGGUGGUGGAAUCAUGCUCAGUUAUCUUUCUGAGAAGAUCUGCAAUCACUUGGACUGUUCAUUGUUUCAAAUGAUUUUAGAUGCUACAUCGAAUGGCUUCUUGCUGAAAGCAGAUUCAUAUAGUCGACAGCUUAAUCAGCAAGCUGAAGGUUUUCUGCAGCCUGCAGUAAAAGUCUAUUCACCAAACUCCACUGAGCACCAUGCUUUCCUCACUGUGUCAAUAGAUCUUGGUCUACAAAGGGAGAUUUGGCAAGCAAGUCAAAGCUAAGGGAAUGGAUGGUGUUCUUGCAGUCCAAAUUCCAAAGCUAGCAUAUUGACCAAUCAACACCUCAAAGUCCACUGACCUCUAUCUUUAACUUGUGAUUCUUAACCUAAUGACCACCUCAUCAGGCAAGUUCCUGAGUCCACACACCACUAACCAGGAGAGAUGACUAGCAGGCAAUAAUAUUGAUUGAACUCCAUGUUUCAUCUCAUUUUGCUGAGGAAUUCUUCAAACAUAUCAGUGUUUGCCUUUCUCACUGAUGCAUGAGAUGAGUCAAACUAAGCAGCUCUUUCAGAACAUGAUGAGCUUGAACUCUGGCACAAGUAUGUCUGUGCUUUAAGUUGUAGUGAGAUACUUAAUGAAACAGAGUUGUUGUCACAGAGUAAUCUUUAGAUGUAGGGGGUAGAUUAAGAUGGGGAAAGUGCCAUGGUGUGCAAGCACAUGGGCCUUGCAGAUGGAGUCAACAGCACACACAUGUCCAUGCAGCCUCAGGUCAACAAACUUGACCAUGCCCACAAGAGGAGGGAAAGAUCCAAGGUAGCAAUCAUAGGAUAUAUCAUUGUUUCAACCACAAGCAAGAAAUAUGAGUGCUCCACUGCCUAACACUGCUAGAACAAAUCAUUGUCCUUGUGAAUCUAAGAGUGUGGUGUGGAUAGUUGGACAUCCUCAGCCUUUGCCUGAUGAAGAGCAACAUGCACAAGUUGUCUUGCAUCUGCAUCUGCAUCUGUGAGAUGAACCAACUCCAUACACUUGAUGCUCUGGCUCCCAAUGACUUUGCUACUCUGAUUUCAAGAUUUGAGAGUCUGCUAGUUGCUCUAUAUACUGUUUGACACAGCUUGAAGAGUACCAGUAAAUCCAUAUCCGAAUGCUUGUUAAGGUCUGUAUGAAACCAAUUCUAUAGCCAAUGUGAUUGAACUUAAUACAUUCUUCUGUCUCGAACUCAAUUUACAUUAAACCUUGUUCAAAAUUUAGCAUUAAGCUAAUAAUCACACUCAUGCUUGUGGUUGAUGAUCAGGAGAAUUAUCAACUCUGCUACUACUUUUAGCCCCAAAUUCAUGCAGCGUACUUGACGAUCAUGUUUGCAUGAAGCUUUUCGAUCAAGAACAAGAAUUCUGCCACCGAGAAACAGAACGACCAAGUGCAUAUGGAACUUGAGGAGAAAAUGAUGAGAAUUGGUGUGAAGGCUAUGUAUCCAUUUUAUGUGUAGUGUGCUUCAAGAGUUUACCAACACAAGUAUAUACGAGUGAUUUGUAUCCUUUUUGGGCUCGGUCUAUUGUCACCAUGUCAAAUACAAAUCACAUGAGCCCUUGCAGGGAUGAUGGCCCAAUCAGUUUCACCUGUACAACAACACACAGCAGCCUCCCAAAGGAGAUGAUGUUAUUUUCUUACCUGAUGAUUCGUUGGGGUGAAGCUGAGGCAGAUAUCCUACGCUUUACUUGCACCAAGACAUGAUCUUUUUGGGCUGAAUGCAUUCAGCAUUUUUGGUUUUAUGAUUACCUACACUUCCCAAAAUUACUGCACAAAGCCUAGUGAAGUUGUGGUGGUAAUACAAGUUGAUAGAAGACUGCUGUAUUGAAUAGAACAAUAAUUCUUGCACCGAAGAGUGCACACGAGAAGAUUUAUUCUGUGAGAAGCUUCAGUUAUUCCAGCAACAUGUCCAAUGAAUGAAUGGAGAACAGAAGAGAGACGGAGAGAAGAAGAAUUUAACUGCACAAUCACAAUCCGCAGGGGACUGAUAUCAUACCUCAUCGACUCCUUCAAACGAUGCUUCGAGUUAGGCUUCCAAGUAGGGCAUCCUUGUAAGGCGUAGGAACUGGUGUAGGAGCCGAUACUGGCCUCCCUUCCUCCUGUUGCUUCCGGCUCUUCUUGUUGCUUUCUAGUAUCAGCGGAAGCUCCUCCCUG
rnacentral:lncRNA from 1 species